GAUGAAGAACGCAGUGAAAUGCGAUAAGUAAUGUGAAUUGCAGAAUUCAGUGAAUCAUCGAAUCUUUGAACGCACAUUGCGCCCGCCAGUAUUCUGGCGGGCAUGCCUGUUCGAGCGUCAUUUCAACCCUCAAGCCCCCGGGCUUGGUGUUGGGGAUCGGCGUGCCCUCGCGGCGCGCCGUCCCCUAAAUCUAGUGGCGGUCUCGCUGUAGCUUCCUCUGCGUAGUAGCAACACUCGCACUGGAUCGCAGCGCGGCCACGCCGUUAAACCCCCCACUUCUGAAAGUUUGACCUCGGAUCAGGUAGGAAUACCCGCUGAACUUAAGGAUAUCAAUAAGCGGAGGA
rnacentral:misc_RNA from 1 species